GAGACUUCUGUGCAACAGUUGAUUCAUAUGACCCAAGUCUGCACUUUUCUCCCCCUCACCCCAAGAAGAGACCAUUGGACAGGGCUCCUUUUGAUUCUGCAUAAUGAUUGAUGCAGGAGCCUGACAGCAAUGCUCAAUCAGAGGGGCCGGCGAAGAUGUUCAACAACCUGGACAAAAUUUUACAAAAUAUUUGCUUAUCCUCAUUAGGGUCACGGCCAGGUGUGCUGAAGCCUAUCCCAGCUGAUUUCAAGCGAGAGAAGGGUCCACCCAGGACUGGUCGGCAGCCAAAUGCAGGGUCUGACAAACAACUAUUCACUUUCACCUUCACAUUAAAGCAACAUUUGGAGUCUUGAAUUCACCUAACAUGCACAUUUU